rfam:Serratia sp. Leaf50 contig_2, whole genome shotgun sequence.
GAAAGACGCGCAUUUGUUAUCAUCAUCCCUGUAAACAGAGAUGUUUGUUUUGGCCACAUUGAUUGUGGCCAUUUU